CCUACGGGAGACAGCAGUGGGGAAUAUUGGGCAAUGGGCGCAAGCCUGACCCAGCAACGCCGCGUGAAGGAAGAAGGCUUUCGGGUUGUAAACUUCUUUUCUCAGGGACGAAGAAAGUGACGGUACCUGAGGACUAAGCCACGGCUAACUACGUGCCAGCAGCCGCUGUAAUACGUAGGUGGCAAGCGUUAUCCGGAUUUACUGGGUGUAAAGGGCGUGUAGGCGGGGAAGCAAGUCAGAUGUGAAAACCACGGGCUCAACCUGUGGCCUGCAUUUGAAACUGUUUGUCUUGAGUACUGGAGAGGCAGACGGAAUUCCUAGUGUAGCGGUGAAAUGCGUAGAUAUUAGGAGGAACACCAGUGGCGAAGGCGGUCUGCUGGACAGCAACUGACGCUGAGGCGCGAAAGCGUGGGGAGCAAACAGGAUUAGAUACCCUGGUAGUC
rnacentral:rRNA from 1 species